GGCUGUAGCUCAGUGGUAGAGCAUCUGCUUUCCAUGCAGAAGGUCCCAGGUUCAAUCCCACUACACAGGGCUU